CCCCCGAACGCGAACAUUUAGCGUCCAUCAUCAGGCUCACGCCGACGCAAGUGAAAAUUUGGUUCCAAAAUCACAGAUACAAGACCAAACGAGCGCAGCACGAAAAAGGGAUGCACGACCAGCAAAACAACAACCCCAUGCCGUCUCCCCGAAGGGUGGCCGUUCCUGUGUUGGUGCGCGAUGGUAAGCCGUGCAUGGGCGGCGGCCCUAAACCCCAAGACAAUUUCCAGAUAUCCGCUAGUCACUUGGGCCCCUUAAUGGGCGCCCACAUGCCGCCCCAUUCUGUUCUGUAUGGGCAACCGCGAUGGCAUUGGCAAUAGACUUAGUUCCUAUUUUUUUUGUACAUUUUGUCAAUAGUUUGAGCAGCGCUUAGUAAGCGGGGUAAGUACAAAUGUGGCUUCAUUCGGCCAAAGACAACUUUUUCAGUUACGCACACCUAACACCAGCAAGGUGAAAAAAACGUAUUUUUUGUUGUUGCCAAGAGCCUUCCAACUCCGUGAUUGAGUCUAGGUAAAUAACGUUAUCAAGCAAAGAAAUUUAUUAAUUAGAAAUAUUGAAAGAUAACAUUUCGAUUGUAUGGAAGGUAUUUAUUUGUUGCGACAAGAUAAAAUGAUUUUCGUUUGGAUUGAUUCAAAUGACGUGGGCGUUUUUUUCUCUAAACUUGUUUGCCUUUACGAAAAACAUGACAUUUUAAAAUCAACAGAUUUCCGAGAGCGAUAACCAGCUACAAUUGGCUGAAUUUUCAUUUUCGUUUCUCACAACUUAAGUAGAUGUUUACGUACUU
rnacentral:lncRNA from 1 species